rnacentral:rRNA from 1 species
UGGGCGCAGCCUCAUGCAGCAACGCCGCGUGAGGUGAUGAAGGCCUUCGGGUUGUAAACCUCUUUUGUCCGGGAAGAUAAUGACGGUACCGCAAGAAUAAGCCCCGGCUAACUUCGUGCC